AGUAAUACAUCGGAACGUGCCUUCUAGUGGGGGAUAACUGCCCGAAAGGGCAGCUAAUACCGCAUGAGACCUGAGGGUGAAAGCGGGGGAUCGCAAGACCUCGCGCUGGAAGAGCGGCCGAUGUCCGAUUAGCUAGUUGGUGAGGUAAAGGCUCACCAAGGCGACGAUCGGUAGCUGGUCUGAGAGGACGACCAGCCACACUGGGACUGAGACACGGCCCAG
rnacentral:rRNA from 1 species